UACGUAGGGGGCAAGCGUUGUCCGGAUUUAUUGGGCGUAAAGAGCGUGUAGGCGGUCAGGUAGGUCCGUUGUGAAAACUCGAGGCUCAACCUCGAGACGCCGAUGGAAACCAUCUGACUAGAGUCCGGAAGAGGAGAGUGGAAUUCCUGGUGUAGCGGUGAAAUGCGCAGAUAUCAGGAAGAACACCAACGGCGAAGGCAGCUCGCUAGGACGGUACUGACGCUGAGACGCGAAAGCGUGGGGAGCGAACAGG
rnacentral:rRNA from 1 species